rnacentral:lncRNA from 1 species
AUCGGCACCUUUCCCCCUCAAAAUCAGCCCCACAGACUAGCCAAACAGCAGCCCCUCACCUGACACUGUUCUCCGGCCAUUUUCGUUUCCUCUUCUCCCCAUUUCCCCGAAGCCUUCGCCUUCAGCACCAGCUUCUCCUCUCACCGCCGAACACGGCGACACCACCUCUUCAACCAGCCUCCAGCGGCGGUCGAGCAACCAGCAGCCAGCAACAGAUCUUCCCUUUGCAAUCGGU